rnacentral:rRNA from 1 species
AUAAAAGGUCCAGCCUGCCCAGUGACAAAGUUCAACGGCCGCAGUACCCUAACUGCGCAAAGGUAGCAUAAUCACUUGUUCUUUAAAUAGGGACUAGUAUCAACGGCACCACGAGAGCUGUACUGUCUCCUUUCUCCAAUCAGUGAAACUGAUUUUCCCGUGAAGAAGCGGGGAUACAAUUAUAAGACGAGAAGACCCCAUGGAGCUUUAAGCAAUGUAUUCACCUUAACCAACUUAUAUCAACCUAACAGAAAGCCCUGAUUACAAGCCUUAGGUUGGGGAGACCGCGGAGUAUAACACAACCUCCACAACAAAUACCUUAAUCCUCGAGCCACAGCUCUAAGAACUAAAAAAUUAAUGUUUAAUGACCCGAUAAUUCGAUCAAUGAACCAAGUUACCCUGGGGAUAACAGCGCAAUCUACUUCGAGAGCCCAUAUCGACAAGCAGGUUUACGACCUCGAUGUUGGAUCAGGGUAUCCCAGUGGUGCAGCCGCUACUAAAGGUUCGUUUGUUCAACGAUUAAAACCCUAC